rnacentral:sRNA from 1 species
GCUUUCAUUGUGAUUCUAGAUCGUCAUUUAUUCAACUAUUGAAUUCAAGUAAAAUCCCCGGCAUAACAACACAUCAUCGAGACAUCGUAAAUGUUAUUGCAUCUGGCACGUGUGUUGUUACAGUCGAUUAUAAUGAAAGAACUAGAGGCAGAAAUACGACCCGAGUCCCCAAACAAAGAUGAUUCAACCAUUACGGUUAUGACUUUCAUCUAGAUCAUAAUAUUAUGACAGUAAGAGGUCGGCUAUAUAAUGUUAGUUGUCAGCAAUGUUGAUACGUUUACAUUGUUACGUCAUUUUUAAAGAACGAUGAAAAGUGUCUUAUUCUAUUUGGACAUUUUUACAAAGUUUCUUUUUGCAAACAAUGAAGCAAAUACACCCUACAGAAUCACUUGAUGUGUCACUAUUUUCUGAACAGGAUCAUUAACCUAUGAUAGUUCAAACAAUGUUUUCAUAUAGAACAUAUUUUUUUAUCUUAUAUAGUGACCUCAAAAUGGAGACUGACGCUAACCGUCUAGAAAGUGGCUAUGAAAGUUACCCUAACAGCGCAACGCCAUCUAUAUCUAUAUCAAGAAGUAGUACUGAAAUCCCUCAACUCAAAUUAGAUUCUAGUGACUCUAACGAGGAAACCUGUUUGAAGGAAGUUCCAAUAGAAAAUAUAAACUCCACUUCAACAAACGAAUGCAGCAAAACAGAACCGAACGAAGCACCGGACGAUUACACGCAUUAUCUAGAAUACAUGCCAUCUCAUUUAAGCAACCAUCUCAUCGACGUACUGAUCAUUUUUGCAAAGAAAGACAGAGAUGAUGCCGAAACUUUUCGAGAUCACAUUAUGUCAUUAUCCUACACAGCAGAACUAUUAGACUGCAGUCUUGUACAGUCCAAAGAAAUCGAAGAUCUAUACAAACGCUCCAUGCUCUAUUUUCUUUAUGUCACAGAGGCAUUCUGCAGUUGUCAAGAGACUUUACUGAAAAGUCAUAUCAUUUUAUCACAAACUCUGGAUGAUGUUGUAAACAGUUUUAGGGUUGUGCCAGUUUAUGCUUGUACCGAAGAAAAGAUUGACCUAUCUCUUGUGCUGAAAUAUUUAAAUCCUAUCAGAUAUUAUAGGCAAGACAAAGAUAAAAGAACAGCAACAAAUAUACUGAAUAAUGUGAAAUAUGACAUCGCAGGAAGAGAAAUUGAAUUAGAAAAAAAAGAGAAACAUAUUACAAUGAACAUAAAAGCGAGCUAAGAUCACGCCUACGAAAUAAUGUGGCAAAAAAGCGUUCAAUUCAAAACACUCAAUGUAAAAACAUAGCUUCUAGUGACGGAGCCAGAAAUAUAAGUAAAACAUCUGGUCUAGAAAAACAAGAAACUCAUUUUCAUUCUGAUAACACUGAACAGAGACCAUCAGGCUCGCGACUUGAGAAUUCCAGUAGUAUUCAUCAAACAAGCAAUGAGUCGGGCUAUGUACAGCAUGAACGUGUGACAGACGACAAGAAGUCUCUACCCCUGGAUGGACAUCCAAAAAUAUAUAAAGUAUAUAAUAUUAACAUAUCAAAAGUUAAGAAUUUGACGAUUGAAGACAACAGCUCGGACAAGAAGGUUGAGGAUUCAGAGCUAGACACAGAGCUGUCAACAAUUGUGUUAAGCCUAUCAAGUGGCGAUCUGGAGAGAACGUCAUCUUCAAGUGCAGACUUCAAACCUCCUGUUGCCGUUCAAGAAAGUCCUUUGUCAGACGAUACAGAACCUAAACAAUAUGUCUGACAGCUCACUUAUCUAUAUCACCGUGCAAUUAUUCUAUAAAGGGAGGCGGAAGCCGAUGUGUGACCAAGUGGCUUGUAUUCUUGUUAGUAUAGUUCCAUGGGCGGUCGUACGGACAGCAAAAUGUUAUAGAGCAUUUUUUUUACAAAGCUUUUAUUCCCUCUGUCUGUAUUUUGACUUACAGAUAAUGAAUAUAUUAUUCUUUCUAUUUUUUUUUCAAUAAUGACUUACUAAUUGAUGUUUUUGUUUUUUUUAAUGUAAAACUUCUGCGCAUCCAAAACGAUAGCACCAUGGUUUCUAAGCAAUAUUAUAGUAUGCAAUUAUCGGUGCUAUGCAGAAUACAUUCCCGCUGCGUAUCUAAUGUAAAAUAAGUACAGAGUUAAAACAGGUAGACAUUAUUGUUUUUUUUUAUAUAUAUUACUAGUUUAUAUACUUGUAUAUGUUGGCCGUAUUAUUAAAAACUAUAUUUAAAAAAAAACCUACAUUAGUGACAAAGUGAUUAUAAUUUUAUUUUUGUUCCCCCAUCAUUGAAUAUAAUUAGUGACAUAUAAUGUGAUAUAAUUGUGUUCACAUAUAAGAGAAAAUAAUGGCAAAGGGAUAUGUGGUUCUGUCAGGCACACGCACACACGUGUGUGGUAUUUCAGUGUAGUGUACUAUAAUGGAAUGGGAAGAUGCGGUUGAAUAAAAUACUAAGGCCCUAUACUAGAGAAUGGAGUGCCAAGGUUUAGUUGAGUGAGGGAACACACAAAACUACAUUUCAUAAUCUCAAAUCGAGUAUAAUUCUAAAGCGUAGACAUUUAAAGUUAAACGCUAUGCAUAGCGUUAAGAAUGAAAGAUCUAUUUAUAACAUUUGAAAUUUAUGUUUAAAGAAUGUUCUCAUAGCAAGCUAGUGUCAUGUGCCUUUAGAAUCAAUCAUUCAUUUCAGGCUUCAAUCUAUCAUUCAUUUCAGGCUUACAAUCAAUCAUUCAUUUCAGGCUUACAAUCAUUCAUUUUAGGCUUACAAUCAAUCAUUCAUUUCCAGCUUUCAAUCAAUCAAUCAUUUCCAGCUUUCAAUCAAUCAUUCAUUUCAGGCUUACAAUCAAUCAUUCAUGUCGAAGUUCAGUUUACAAUUGAGUGGACAUUGCGUCAUUGCAGCUGUGCCAUUAAAACAGAAACAAACAAAAAAUGUGUUUGUGAGAUUGAGCUCUAUGUCACCAUUAAGGACAAACUUAGGCUAGGUUUUUUAAACUUAACACGGGUUUGUGAUGACAUCAAAUGUCAAUCUCUCUUUUUUAAAAUGUUUCUUCCACACUCCUUCAGUAAAAUAAAAACAAUUUUUUCUUGACAAUACAUGGCACAAAAUGUCUGUUAUACGUUACUACAAUAAAAUAUGUUCAAAAUGUAACUACAAUCUAUUUCAAUGUGUCUGCUUAACUGUGUCGCAUGUGCUCCGGGCUGUCACCUUCCUGCUGCCUCACCCCAGCGUCCUGCGGGAAGUUAGGGCUAGGUAGCAAUUCUCUUUCAGUGUGAAGAAACAUCCGAAACAUGUUAUGUUAUGGUGCUAUGAUGUGAUAUGAAGUUAUGGUGAUCAGUGUACAAUAUGCUAUGCACUAUUUAUUUUCUAUGAAUUGGACCAUUUUAAUAAUUGACUCUAGUAUUUUACAUUCGAUUGUGAUAAAUUAUUAGUAUUACAUCUACAUUACCUUCUUAAAAGAUAUAGGCCUACCAUUUUGUGUGUGUGUCUGUUCAGGGAAAAUAUUGUGGAUGAAUUAAAAACUAUUUUUAUAAUCAA